GGAGAGGUCGCAUAGUUGGCCUAGUGCGCGGGUUUGCUAAACCCGUAGGGACGCAAGUCUCUCGAGGGUUCGAAUCCCUCCCUCUCCG
rnacentral:tRNA from 1 species